GAAAUGCGAUAAGUAAUGUGAAUUGCAGAAUUCAGUGAAUCAUCGAAUCUUUGAACGCACCUUGCGCUCCUUGGUAUUCCUUGGGGCAUGCCUGUUUGAGUAUCAUGAAAUCUUCAAAGUAAAUCUUUUGUUAACUCAAUUGGUUUCUACUUUGGUAUUGGAGGUCUUUGCAGCUUCACACCUGCUCCUCUUUGUUCAUUAGCUGGAUCUCAGUGUUAUGCUUGGUUCCACUCGGCUUGAUAAGUUAUCUAUCGCUGAGGACACUGUAAAAGGUGGCCAAGGUAAAUGCAGAUGAACCGCUUCUAAUAGUCCAUUGACUUGGACAAUACUUUUAUGAUCUGAUCUCAAAUCAGGUAGGACUACCCGCUGAACUUAAGC
rnacentral:misc_RNA from 1 species